rnacentral:pre_miRNA from 12 species
CGCGAUUUCUGUAGACUGAGUGUCAGAGACGCAGCUUACAGGAGUUGGUAAGCUUACAGAACUCCUGUAAGCUGCGUCUCUGACACUCAGUCU